rnacentral:snRNA from 11 species
AUACCUUUCUCGGCCUUUUGGCUAAGAUCAAGUGUAGUAUCUGUUCUUAUCAGUUUAAUAUCUGAUACGUGGGACAUCGUCCCACAUGAUAUUAAAUUAAUUUUUUAAGGGGGAGGGUCCACCACAAUAGCUUGCUAUUGGGAUCCUCGAGCGUCGCCCUAGCGUUGCACUACUGCUUGGGCCUGGCGCACCCCUC